rnacentral:misc_RNA from 1 species
AGCAGCCGCGGUAAUUCCAGCUCCAAUAGCGUAUAUUAAAGUUGUUGCAGUUAAAAGCUCGUAGUUGAAUUUCGGGAUCAGUUGGUCGGUCGUGCCUCGGUACGUACUGGUCAAAUUGAUUCCUACCUUCUGACGAACCACGAUGUCAUUAAUUUGGUGUCGCGGGAAAUCAGGACUGUUACUUUGAAAAAAUUAGAGUGUUUAAAGCAGGCUCGCGCUUGAAUACAUUAGCAUGGAAUAAUGAAAUAGGACGUUUGAUUCUAUUUUGUUGGUUUCUAGGAUCGACGUAAUGAUUAAUAGGGAUAGUUGGGGGCAUUAGUAUUCAAUUGUCAGAGGUGAAAUUCUUGGAUUUAUUGAAGACUAACUACUGCGAAAGCAUUUGCCAAGGAUGUUUUCAUUAAUCAAGAACGAAAGUUAGGGAUCGAAGACGAUCAGAUACCGUCGUAGUCUUAACCAUAAACUAUGCCG